UAAGACCUUGCGCCGAUGGAUGAGCCGAAGUCGGAUUAGCUAGUUGGUAGGGUAACGGCCUACCAAGGCGACGAUCCGUAGCUGGUCUGAGAGGACGACCAGCCACACUGGGACUGAGACACGGCCCAGACUCCUACGGGAGGCAGCAGUGGGGAAUAUUGGACAAUGGGGGCAACCCUGAUCCAGCGACGCCGCGUGUGUGAAGAAGGCCUGCGGGUUGUAAAGCACUUUUAGUGGGGAUGAAAAGCUCAGGGCUAAUACCUCUGGGUCUUGACCUAACUCACAGAAAAAGCACCGGCUAACUCUGUGCCAGCAGCCGCGGUAAUACAGAGGGUGCGAGCGUUAAUCGGAAUUACUGGGCGUAAAGCGCACGUAGACGGUUUUGUAAGUCAGAUGUGAAAUCCCCGGGCUCAACCUGGGAACU
rnacentral:rRNA from 1 species